GACGAACGCUGGCGGCGUGCCUAAUACAUGCAAGUCGAACGCAGUGGGGACGGGUGAGUAACACGUGGGUAACCUCCCAUCAGAGGGGAUAACACUUGGAAACAGGUGCUAAACCGAUACUGAUGGAUGGACCCGCGGUGCAUUAGCUAGUUGGUGAGGUAACGGAUCACCACGGCCACGAUGCAUAGCCGACCGGAGAGGGGGAUCGGCCACAUGGGGACGGAUACACGGCCCAGCCUCCUACGGGAGGCAGCAGUAGGGAAUCUUCGGCAAUGGACGAAAGUCGGACCGAGCAACGCCGCGUGAGUGAAGAAGGUUUUCGGAUCGUAAAACUCUGUUUUUAGAGAAGCGGUAUCUAACCAGAAAGCCACGGCUAACUACGUGCCAGCCGCCGCGGUAAUUC
rnacentral:rRNA from 1 species